UGGAUCUCAGAUUAUUUGUAAGCAGGUAC
rnacentral:piRNA from 1 species